CGCGGGGCGGAAGCGCGGAGAAGGCGGGGCGGGCCGGGGACUGCGGAAGCGAUGGGGCCGUCGCUGGGCGUACACGAGCUGCUGCACGUCUUCUCCUUCCUGGAGGCCCGAGACCUGCUCCGUGCCGCCCAGGUGGACAAGGUCUGGAAUGAGGUUUCAGGGACCAAGGAAUUGUGGAGGCAGUUGUGUCUGAGACGCUGGUCCUCCUGUAAAGACUCCCAGGUGACGCGGGGCACACAGACAUGGAAACAGUACUACCUCUGCCGAUCCGAGCUGGACUUCCGAGUGGAAUCUGGGCGGCCAGAGAAGGACUUCGUUUGCAAAGCCCUUGCCGGGCACAAAGGAGAGAUAGCUAAGCUGGCCUACAUCUCACCCAACGAGUACUGCUUUGACAGGCGGGAGAAGUCUGUGGUGUGCACUGCGUCCUCAGAUGGCACUGUGCGUGCCUGGAAUCUACAUGCGGGCAUGGAGAUCUGGUCGAGCCCUCUACAGCCUGAUGCUCUGGUGAAUUUGGUGACUUACCCUCAGCUGCAGCUGGUUGUCACCGUGGACGCACAGGGACUCAUCAAAGUGUGGGAAGCAGAGAGCGGGCGGGAGUCAGCCUCCUUCUGCCUGCCUACACACUCGUCUGCAUUGGAGGCCUCUGACCAUCCAGAGGGCCCCUUCCUGCUGGCGGCCUGUGCCGAUGGAACACUCUACACGCUCACGGUGCCCGGGCUGCAGGUGCUGUCCAGGGUGAGUGUGUUCCCGAACCACCCCGCCAGCCUGCUCUGCUCUCCCGACUGCCAGUGGGUGUUCACAUUGGCCCAGGACUCAGACCUGAGCCCCAAGGUGUUCCACUCGCACUCCUUGCUGUGUCCACUGGAAGACGAGCCUCCUGUCUCCACCGCUCUCCCCAUCGGGCUGACUUCCAAAGCCUGCUGGGCCCCCGAUGAGCCGGCCAGGCUGGUGGUGGUGCACAGAGAUGACAGCGGCGUGCAGUGGGUGGUCACCACCUACGAGCCAGGGGCUAAGAAGUCCAGGGAUGCAGUGAGCGUUCUGGUACAGCAGAUUGCAAGUUUCAACCUGCCAGACACCAUGAUGCCUCCUCACCUAAUGAAGGGGCACGGCUCCCAAGUGGUGCUGCUGGUGUCGGGGUCUGAGCUGGUGCUCUUCACCAUCCACGGCCUGCGGCUGGCAGCCUUCCAGGACCAUCAGCGGCCCAUCACGUCCCUGUGUGUGGACCAGAGCCGAGUCGUCACCUCUUCUUUCGACCUCUCCUUGCGCGUCUACAUGUGGAAAAAGGGGAAUAAAUUUCCUGUCCUCAAGAGCUGCUAUCACUUGCUCGGGGGCUCCCACCGCUGGGCCAGUGGAUUUACCCAGGUGGACAGUGACAGCAUGAGCAUUGUGGGCGUGGAAGCCAGAAGCGCUGGCACGAGUAUUCUGAGGUCAUACUACUUCCAACUGCGACGAGACCUAGACAAGGAACAGGAAACGUAACAGGAGAGUCAGUAACCUGUUGUUGGCCCAUGUUGCAGCUGCCUAGCAAUCUGCCCAGCGCUAUUCAGAUAGUAAGUGGCAGAAAGGAGAGAAUGCCCAACGGGGGACUAGAAAGCCCCUGCUUACAGUGCUGGGGGUGUCACAGAAUCAUUUUUGUUGUUCAGAUGUGGAGACUUUCGUAUUUUUUGAUGGUGGUGCCCCUGGACUUGGUCCCCUCGGAAGCCCUGACUGGUGUAGUGGCGUAUCUUUCAGAGUUCUUAAUUGUAAGCAAGAGGAACAGCAAGCUGGUGGGUCUCUGUGAGUCUUCCUCAAAUCCUUUCAUGAGCUCCUGAUGUAGCCCAAGAUAUUCUGUAUUAAGUGGAUAUAAAACAUUAAAAUAUUCUCUCUA